rnacentral:rRNA from 1 species
GCAGCAGCCGCGGUAAUACAGAGGGUGCGAGCGUUAAUCGGAUUUACUGGGCGUAAAGCGUGCGUAGGCGGCUUCUUAAGUCGGAUGUGAAAUCCCUGAGCUUAACUUAGGAAUUGCAUUCGAUACUGGGAAGCUAGAGUAUGGGAGAGGAUGGUAGAAUUCCAGGUGUAGCGGUGAAAUGCGUAGAGAUCUGGAGGAAUACCGAUGGCGAAGGCAGCCAUCUGGCCUAAUACUGACGCUGAGGUACGAAAGCAUGGGGAGCAAACAGGAUUAGAUACCCCAGUAGUCCCUGUCUCUUAUAC